rnacentral:rRNA from 1 species
GACGAACGCUGGCGGCGUGCUUAACACAUGCAAGUCGAACGGAAAGGCCCUGCUUUUGUGGGGUGCUCGAGUGGCGAACGGGUGAGUAACACGUGAGUAACCUGCCCUUGACUUUGGGAUAGCUUCAGGAAACUGGGGCUAAUACCGGAUAGGAGCUCCUGCUGCAUGGUGGGGGUUGGAAAGUUUCGGCGGUUGGGGAUAGACUCGCGGCUUAUCAGCUUGUUGGUGGGGUAGUGGCUUACCAAGGCUUUGACGGGUAGCCGGCCUGAGAGGGUGACCGGCCACAUUGGGACUGAGAUACGGCCCAGACUCCUACGGGAGGCAGCAGUGGGGAAUAUUGCACAAUGGGCGGAAGCCUGAUGCAGCAACGCCGCGUGCGGGAUGACGGCCUUCGGGUUGUAAACCGCUUUCGCCUGUGACGAAGCGUGAGUGACGGUAAUGGGUAAAGAAGCACCGGCUAACUACGUGCCAGCAGCCGCGGUGAUACGUAGGGUGCGAGCGUUGUCCGGAUUUAUUGGGCGUAAAGGGCUCGUAGGUGGUUGAUCGCGUCGGAAGUGUAAUCUUGGGGCUUAACCCUGAGCGUGCUUUCGAUACGGGUUGACUUGAGGAAGGUAGGGGAGAAUGGAAUUCCUGGUGGAGCGGUGGAAUGCGCAGAUAUCAGGAGGAACACCAGUGGCGAAGGCGGUUCCCUGGGCCUUUCCUGACGCUGAGGAGCGAAAGCGUGGGGAGCGAACAGGCUUAGAUACCCUGGUAGUCCACGCUGUAAACGGUGGGUACUAGGUGUGGGGUCCAUUCCACGGGUUCCGUGCCGUAGCUAACGCUUUAAGUACCCCGCCUGGGGAGUACGGCCGCAAGGCUAAAACUCAAAGGAAUUGACGGGGCCCCGCACAAGCGGCGGAGCAUGCGGAUUAAUUCGAUGCAACGCGUAGAACCUUACCUGGGUUUGACAUGGAUCGGGAGCGCUCAGAGAUGGGUGUGCCUCUUUUGGGGUCGGUUCACAGGUGGUGCAUGGCUGUCGUCAGCUCGUGUCGUGAGAUGUUGGGUUAAGUCCCGCAACGAGCGCAACCCUUGUUCACUGUUGCCAGCACGUUAUGGUGGGGACUCAGUGGAGACCGCCGGGGUCAACUCGGAGGAAGGUGGGGAUGACGUCAAGUCAUCAUGCCCCUUAUGUCCAGGGCUUCACGCAUGCUACAAUGGCUGGUACAGAGAGUGGCGAGCCUGUGAGGGUGAGCGAAUCUCGGAAAGCCGGUCUCAGUUCGGAUUGGGGUCUGCAACUCGACCUCAUGAAGUCGGAGUCGCUAGUAAUCGCAGAUCAGCAACGCUGCGGUGAAUACGUUCCCGGG